CAUCGGAACGUGCCCAGUAGUGGGGGAUAGCUCGGCGAAAGCCGGAUUAAUACCGCAUACGACCUACGGGUGAAAGCGGGGGAUCGCAAGACCUCGCGCUAUUGGAGCGGCCGAUGUCAGAUUAGGUUGUUGGUGGGGUAAAAGCCUACCAAGCCGACGAUCUGUAGCUGGUCUGAGAGGACGACCAGCCACACUGGGACUGAGACACGGCCCAGACUCCUACGGGAGGCAGCAGUGGGGAAUUUUGGACAAUGGGCGAAAGCCUGAUCCAGCCAUGCCGCGUGCGGGAAGAAGGCCUUCGGGUUGUAAACCGCUUUUGUCAGGGAAGAAAUCUUCCAGGCUAAUACCUUGGGAGGAUGACGGUACCUGAAGAAUAAGCACCGGCUAACUACGUGCCAGCAGCCGCGGUAAUACGUAGGGUGCAAGCGUUAAUCGGAAUUACUGGGCGUAAAGCGUGCGCAGGCGGUUAUGCAAGACAGAUGUGAAAUCCCCGGGCUUAACCUGGGAACUGCAUUUGUGACUGCACAGCUAGAGUACGGUAGAGGGGGAUGGAAUU
rnacentral:rRNA from 1 species